rnacentral:rRNA from 1 species
AGCAGCCGCGGUAAUUCCAGCUCCAAUAGCGUAUAUUAAAGUUGUUGCAGUUAAAAAGCUCGUAGUUGAAUUUCGGGAUCAAUAUGUUGGUCGUGCCUCGGUACGUACUGGCAUUAUUGGUUUCUACCUUCUGAAGAACCUCGAUGUCAUUAAUUUGGUGUCUUGGGGAACCAGGACUGUUACUUUGAAAAAUUAGAGUGUUUAAAGCAGGCUCACGCUUGAAUACAUUAGCAUGGAAUAAUGAAAUAGGACGUUUGGUUCUAUUUUGUUGGUUUCUAGGAUUGACGUAAUGAUUAAUAGGGAUAGUUGGGGGCAUUAGUAUUCAAUUGUCAGAGGUGAAAUUCUUGGAUUUAUUGAAGACUGACUACUGCGAAAGCAUUUGCCAAGGAUGUUUUCAUUAAUCAAGAACGAAAGUUAGGGGAUCGAAGACGAUCAGAUACCGUCGUAGUCUUAACCAUAAACUAUGCCGACUAGGGAUCGGAUGAUGUUAAUUUUUAUGUACUCA